ensembl:lncRNA
GUUCAAAAUUAUUUAAGUCGGAACUAAAAUAUCAAUUACUCUAUUAUGCAGUUUACCAGAGACCAAAGAUCAUCAAGAGAUGCUUGGCUGCUAUAGUACAAAGGUUGAGUCAGAGCCAGAAACAGUGAUAGAGCGUCUGGAGGAAAGGCAGGGCCAACCCUGGGGAGCUCAGGUGCAUGCAAUUCAUCUGAGUAACAGGGGGGGAGGAGCCAGGAUCCACCCCUUCCCAGACCACAUUUAUGGGCUGGCAGUGGAAAUCAUGGCACCUUGCUGGAGCUCCCUACCUACUUAGAACCUUUUAAAGUUAUUCAAGCUGCCAUAGGAUUUUGCUGUUCAGAAGCUACUGUUUGUCCUUUCUACUGUCAGACAGAAAGGAUGCUCACAUGAGAACUUAGUGCUCUCCUCCUAAAGGCAAG